rnacentral:miRNA from 1 species
GUGGGAGCAAGGAUGGUGCUGGAGUUGGGGUGCUCAAUGACGAAGGGCAUUCUCAUUUCCUUCCCUACAGUCUCCCCAGAUGGUGA